AUUGAAUCCAUAGUGUUUUAUUAAUUUAAAAUGUAGGCAUGCAGCAAAAAACAUUGUCAGCUUUCACUGUACUAUUAUUAUGAAUCAAUUUUGUACCAGGAAACAUUUGAUCACAGAAAUAAAAAUGUUAAAAUUUCCACCUGAAAAGUAGCUCCACCUCUGCCAUCAAAUUUUCAAAAGUAAGUAAUUAAAAAAAAAAAGUUAGUAUUUUUAAAAGCUAUCAUUUUUUAUGUAAUUUUCCAAACUAUGUACAAUAGUCUUUGAUUUUCAAAGUUUGUUUUAAAACAUACAUACAGUACUGUGCUGUGGAGGGCAAUUAGUUGUCUUCAAAACAAUCCCUAAUUAAUCCAAAUAUAAAAUACCAGUCACUCUUUUAGAAAAGCUGCAUUUCACAACAUAAGCAAAAUACAAAGCCCAAAAAAAAAAAAAGGCAGCAGUCUUCGGAAUUAAAAACAAUUUGCAAAACAAAUCAAAUGCACAUCAUAAGGAAUAACAAAUACCAAUAGCUAAACAUUGUAUACAACAAAGGUUUAAUGGUUAAUAUCAGCAAAGAAAUGAUCCUCAAAGUUUUGGUGGAGUUACACUGAGAGAAGGAAAAAAUUGUAUUUUGGAAAGUUGUACCAACUAACAAUAAGUGCCAGCAAUGUUGAUAGAAAAUAAGGUGCUUAGAGAACAAUGUGCAAUGCAAACUUUGGUGUUCAUGCUUUUAGCAAGAGAUUGAAAUGAAGGUCUGCAAAGAUGUAUAAAGGACCAGAGGAAGAAGCAUCAACACAAAAUGGCUGGCAAGUUUCAGGUCAUUAUCACUGCAUAGAGCCUGCCAGAUUUAGUGAGUAUUAUUUGUACACACAAAGUGUACAUUGUGUACAGAGCUGACACGCUUAUGAGAUUUCCAAAAUAAAAUUACAGACAUAGUUGAAACUUUCAAAAAAAAAAUCAUUUUUAAAAGGUCACUUUGACAACAAUCCCCACAUACAAAAUCAACACUACAGAAUAUGUUGUGCCUCUACAUACUUUGUACACAGGGAAACAACAAAAUUCUUGAGAUGAACAGAAUUGGCCAUGAUGACCGAAAUAUUUUUAUGGCUGAAGAUUUUUCAAAGCCGAUUAAUGAGAGUGUCGUCUUGUCAACACAAUGACUAAUUCUGUUACACGGCUGAGAUGAACUAACCUUUAAGAUUUAGUAAAAUCAGAGAAUUACCUUCUGACACCAUUUCUCAAUUAAACAAUUUUUCUUCACAAAAAUAUGUGAAAAGUGGAAAAAAUUUUAAAUAGAACUAAAUAAGCAACACAGCAUUAAAUAUUAAUAUCGUUUUUCAUUGUUUUAUAUUAAGCAUAUCUUUAGCAUUAUUUAGUUCGACAACCUUAAAAAAAAAAAAAUCACAACUUUUCUUCCUCUACUGGCUGGCCUGAAGGGGACAACAAAAAAUCACAACACAUUUCGUUUCCCACCUCAUUCCAGUUUUAAAUUUUGUAACCCCCAAUGUCAAAGAAUUAUCCCCACACCUCCAUAUCUUAAAGCCUUCCCUUUAUAGAAAUGAAUUGACAAAACACACAAGAACAAAUUGAGUAUGGCAUGCUUGGGUCAACAAGUAGCUUGAGCAGAAUCACUGGCAUAAAUACUACAGGCCAAUAUGAACAGGUACAGUAACAUAAACAUACAGUUAAAUGAUAUACACAUCACCAGUCUUUAGUCGUUGACUUAAGUACACAUUUAAUACCAACCCAUUUUUUGAGCUGAUAUUUUGAUACAAUUCCCCCCCCCCCC